UACAGAGGUCUCAAGCGUUGUUCGGAUUCAUUGGGCGUAAAGGGUGCGUAGGCGGCGCGGUAAGUCGGGUGUGAAAUCUCGGAGCUUAACUCCGAAACUGCAUUCGAUACUGCCGUGCUUGAGGACUGGAGAGGAGACUGGAAUUUACGGUGUAGCGGUGAAAUGCGUAGAUAUCGUAAGGAACACCAGUGGCGAAGGCGGCGAUCUGGGUCGAUACUGACGCUGAGGUGCGAAAGCGUGGGGAGCAAACAGG
rnacentral:rRNA from 1 species